rnacentral:rRNA from 1 species
UACAGGGGGUGCAAACGUUGCUCGGAAUCAUUGGGCGUAAAGCGCACGUAGGCGGUUCGUUAUGUCGGAUGUGAAAGCCCUUGGCUUAACCGAGGAAGUGCAUCCGAAACUGGCGAGCUAGAGUACUAAAGAGGAUCGCGGAAUUCCCGGUGUAGAGGUGAAAAUUCGUAGAUAUCGGGAGGAACACCGGUGGCGAAGGCGGCGAUCUGGGCCAAUAUUGACGCUGAGGUGCGAAAGCGUGGGGAGCAAACAGGG